rnacentral:rRNA from 1 species
GACGAACGUUGGCGGCGUGCUUAAUACAUGCAAGUCCACUGAAGCAGUGGUAGCAAUAUCGCUGUGGAGGUGGCGCACGGGUGAGUAACACGUAGGUAAUCUGCCUUCAGGUCUGGCAUAACUCCGGGAAACCGGGGCUAAUAGCAGAUGAUGCAGCGGCUCGACAUCGAGACAGUUGUUAAAGCUAUGGCGCCUGAAGAUGAGCCUGCGUCUGAUUAGCUAGUUGGCGGGGUAACGGCCCACCAAGGCAACGAUCAGUAGCUGGUCUGAGAGGAUGAUCUGGCACACUGGAACUGAGACACGGUCCAGACUCCUACGGAGGGCAGCAGUAAGGAAUAUUGCUCAAUGGGAGAAAUCCUGAAGCAGCAACGCCGCGUGAGGGACGAAGGGCUUUUGCUUGUAAACCUCUGUGGUGAGAGAAAAAAAUCCCAAUCUUUGGGACAUGAUGGUAUCUCAAAAGUAAGCCCCGGCUAACUACGUG